UCGAGAAUCUUCCGCAAUGGACGAAAGUCUGACGGAGCGACGCCGCGUGCGGGAUGAAGGCCUUCGGGUUGUAAACCGCUGUCAGAGGGGAGCAAAUUUUGAGCAAUCCUCAGAGGAAGCGCAGGCUAAGUUCGUGCCAGCAGCCGCGGUAAUACGAACUGCGCAAACGUUAUUCGGAAUCACUGGGCUUAAAGGGUGCGUAGGCGGCUAUGUAGGUCAGGUGUGAAAUCCCUCGGCUCAACCGAGGAACUGCGCUUGAAACCACAUAGCUUGAGGGAGACAGAGGUGAGCGGAACUGAUGGUGGAGCGGUGAAAUGCGUUGAUAUCAUCAGGAACACCGGUGGCGAAAGCGGCUCACUGGGUCUUUUCUGACGCUGAGGCACGAAAGCUAGGGGAGCGAACGGGAUUAGAUACCCCCGUAGUCC
rnacentral:rRNA from 1 species